UACGGGGGGGGCAAGCGUUGUUCGGAAUUACUGGGCGUAAAGGGCUCGUAGGCGGCCAACUAAGUCCGACGUGAAAUCCCCAGGCUUAACCUGGGAACUGCGUCGGAUACUGGAUGGCUUGAAUCCGGGAGAGGGAUGCGGAAUUCCAGGUGUAGCGGUGAAAUGCGUAGAUAUCGUAAGGAAGACCAGUGGCGAAGGCGGGUCUCUGGACAGUCCUGACGCUGAGGCACGAAGGCCAGGGGAGCAAACGGG
rnacentral:rRNA from 1 species